GCCCGUUCUACAUUGUGUGACGCUGCUGCGGUGUCUCCUAGUUACUUGUUUCUGAUCUGAGGAGCAGGAGCAAGGAACUCAGGGAGAGAUCCAGGAAGACAUCUGACUGUGUUAAGACAGGACAGAUACAGUGACACGAGGAGCGAGGACUAUCGCAGCAAAGUAAAAUGACUUCACAACUAUUGCAUCAGAGCUGCAGGUGUGAGAGAGCACAAGCUUGUCUAAGAGUGCAGGGGACAAACGGAAAGAAAUGUGUAAGAAUGCCGGUGACUCAGAAGCAUGCAUCCAAGCCGUCCUUCCGUGUCCUCACCAUCUAGAAGCAAAGCC